GCUGUUGCCACAGUCCCUCAAAAACCUCACAACAGUACCAUAGGAUUGGCAGCGCUGAGAUCUGAAGUAUCCUUUGGUUCACAUAAAAGAUGACUUUGUGGAGGAAGCUUCUGCAGGUGACGUGCCUGGCCACUCAGAGACCUCGGACCUCGCCUCCUGAGGAAACGGUGGUGACGCAUAGCCGUGCCCACCCCCCACCUCUCGAGGGAACGCGGUGCACGGCUGGGGCUCUGCUUCCUGUCUUCCCUGA